GCUAUAAAUAAAAGCCAACACGCCUUGCCUUUCUUCGUCCAGAUUGAUUCGACACUGUCUAUCGGCCGAUCAGAAAUUCAGAACCCAAGAAAGAGAGCGAAAACACAAGAAAGCUUGAACCAUGCGUGCCAAGUGGAAGAAGAAGCGAAUGAGGAGACUAAAGAGGAAGCGACGAAAGAUGAGGCAGAGAUCUAAGUAGACAGUAGGAUAGCUUCUUUCAUUCAUUCAUCACCUUCUGCAGCCAUGGAGUUGGUAUUGACCUUUAUGAUGGAGCUGUAUAUUGUCUAGUCACUGAUGGUAGCUUUUUGAUUCUGUAGUGCUGGUAGGGUUGAAGUUUUGUUUGGUAACUUCAUCAGGUUUUAUUGCUUUUUAUCUAAGACAUCCAACUUUUCAGAUUUUUGUGUUACUUUUGUUUGAUGCUGAUAAUCAUGUUUUUCUAAUA